GACGAACCGUGCGAACGUUGUUCGGAAUCACUGGGCUUAAAGGGUGCGUAGGCGGGCGAGUAAGUCAGGGGUGAAAUCCCACGGCCCAACCGUGGAAGUGCCUCUGAUACUGCGAGUCUAGAGGGAAACAGGGGCGUGCGGAACUUCCGGUGGAGCGGUGAAAUGCGUAGAUAUCGGAAGGAACACCGGUGGCGAAAGCGGCACGCUGGAUUUCUACUGACGCUGAGGCACGAAAGCCAGGGGAGCAAACGGG
rnacentral:rRNA from 1 species